rnacentral:rRNA from 1 species
AGUGAACGCUGGCGGUAGGCCUAACACAUGCAAGUCGAACGGCAGCACAGUAAGAGCUUGCUCUUACGGGUGGCGAGUGGCGGACGGGUGAGGAAUACAUCGGAAUCUACUUUUUCGUGGGGGAUAACGUAGGGAAACUUACGCUAAUACCGCAUACGACCUACGGGUGAAAGCAGGGGAUCUUCGGACCUUGCGCGAUUGAAUGAGCCGAUGUCGGAUUAGCUAGUUGGCGGGGUAAAGGCCCACCAAGGCGACGAUCCGUAGCUGGUCUGAGAGGAUGAACCGCACACUGGGACUUGGGCCCCGGUCCAGACCCCUACGGGAGGCAGCAGGGGGGAAAUUUGGACAAUGGGCGCAAGCCUGAUCCAGCCAUACCGCGUGGGGGAAGAAGGCCUUCGGUUUGUAAAGCCCUUUUGUUGGGAAAGAAAAGCAGCGGGUUAAUCCCCCGCUGUUCUGACGGUACCCAAAGAAAAAGCCCCGGCUACCUUCGU